AGAGGAAGAAUUCUACCUGAGUUUGCCAUAAAGUGCCUGCCCUCUAGCCUCUACUCUUCCAGUUGCGGCUUAUUGCAUCACAGUAAUUGCUGUACGAAGGUCAGAAUCGCUACCUAUUGUCCAAAGCAGUCGUAAGAAGAGGUCCCAAUCCCCCACUCUUUCCGCCCUAAUGGAGGUCUCCAGUUUCGGUAAAAGUUUCAUUUGAUCUGAAUAGUAUUAAAAUAAAAUACCUGGAUGAGGAAGAUGAAGAGAGACGAAGUCUCGCUCUGUCACCAGGCUGGAGUGCAGUGGCGUGAUCUUGGCUCACUGCAACCUCUGCCUCCGGGUUCAAGCAAUUCUCCUGCUUCAGCCUCCCGAGUAGCUUGGGACUACAGACUAGAGACGGGGUUUCACUGUGUUAGCCAGGAUGGUCUCGAUCCCCUGACAUCGUGAUCCGCUGUCCUCGGUCUCCCAAAGUGCUGGGAUUACAGGCGUGAGCCACCGCACCUGGUCGAUUAACCUCUUUUAAGCCUGUUUUCUCAUCCAUACAAUGGAGAUAAUGGCAGCACCCACUGCUUGACUGGGCAACAAGAGCGAAACUCCAUCUCAAAAGGAAAAAAAAGCAAAAGAGAAAAAACCCAAACAAACAAAACCCCUGAACUUCCCUGCGGGCACAUUUUCUCUGGCAGCCUUUUUCAAUGAGAGCUAUGUUUUCUCCGAUACUAUAUGGCCUGCGGACCGCUCAGCUUUCAUUCCAGUGAAAACAUUCCAGAACAAACUCCAGGUGCUGGAAGCCCAGGAAGCACACAUCAAGGCUCCCUUGCCAGCAGGGUGCUGCCAAUAAAAGGUAGUCACGUGGAAUUUGGAAUGUGGAAAGGAGGUAGAAGUCAUCCUUUCCUCCCCUGUAGCAGCAGGCGUGCAGGCUCUGGUGGUCAGCUGGACUCCAUACUCCCCCACCAGUCACCAGCCUGGGGACCGUGGGGCUGCAAGGACCUCAGCAGCGGUGUCCCAAGUUUCCUGACUUCUUCCAUCCUCUGGAAAUCAGCUGUGCCGGACAGAGGAAUGGUUACAAGGCUUUGAGCCUAACAGUGCUGGCUUAAAACCGUAACUUGUCGUUUUGGAUGUGUGGCCUUGGACACUUGGGCAGGUCACCUACGUCCUUCUAGCCCUGGCUCAGUCCUUUGGAUGUUAAUCCACCUGGGCUGGUGCACCUAAAUAAUAAAGAUCCUCCUCAAUCCC
rnacentral:lncRNA from 10 species